rnacentral:rRNA from 1 species
UACGGAGGGUGCAAACGUUGCUCGGAAUCAUUGGGCGUAAAGCGCACGUAGGCGGACCGCUAAGUCGGAUGUGAAAGCCCUCGGCUUAACCGAGGAAGUGCAUUCGAAACUGACGGUCUUGAGUAUGGAAGAGGGUCGCGGAAUUCCCGGUGUAGAGGUGAAAUUCGUAGAUAUCGGGAGGAACACCAGUGGCGAAGGCGGCGACCUGGGCCAAUACUGACGCUGAAGCACGAAAGCGUGGGGAGCAAACAGG